UACCGAUGGUCCGACAGCGUCUCCACCUC
rnacentral:sRNA from 1 species